AUUGAACGCUGGCGGCAGGCCUAACACAUGCAAGUCGAACGCGAAAGCUCCUUCGGGAGUGAGUAGAGUGGCGAACGGGUGAGUAACGCGUAGGAAUCUACCCAGGAGUGGGGGACAACCCGGAGAAAUUCGGGCUAAUACCGCAUACGCCCUACGGGGCAAAGUGGGGGACCUCUUCGGAGGCCUCACGCUUCUGGAUGAGCCUGCGUCGGAUUAGCUUGUUGGUGAGGUAAAGGCUCACCAAGGCGACGAUCCGUAGCUGGUCUGAGAGGAUGACCAGUCACACUGGGACUGAGACACGGCCCAGACUCCUACGGGAGGCAGCAGUGGGGAAUAUUGGACAAUGGGGGAAACCCUGAUCCAGCCAUGCCGCGUGUGUGAAGAAGGCCCUAGGGUUGUAAAGCACUUUCAGUGGGGAAGAAAAGCUUGAGGUGAACAACCUCGGGUAUUGACGGUACCCACAGAAGAAGCACCGGCUAAUUCCGUG
rnacentral:rRNA from 1 species